GACGAACGCUGGCGGCGUGCUUAACACAUGCAAGUCGAACGGAAAGGCCCUGCUUUUGUGGGGUGCUCGAGUGGCGAACGGGUGAGUAACACGUGAGUAACCUGCCCUUGACUUUGGGAUAACUUCAGGAAACUGGGGCUAAUACCGGAUAGGAGCUCCUGCUGCAUGGUGGGGGUUGGAAAGUUUCGGCGGUUGGGGAUGGACUCGCGGCUUAUCAGCUUGUUGGUGGGGUAGUGGCUUACCAAGGCUUUGACGGGUAGCCGGCCUGAGAGGGUGACCGGCCACAUUGGGACUGAGAUACGGCCCAGACUCCUACGGGAGGCAGCAGUGGGGAAUAUUGCACAAUGGGCGGAAGCCUGAUGCAGCAACGCCGCGUGCGGGAUGACGGCCUUCGGGUUGUAAACCGCUUUCGCCUGUGACGAAGCGUGAGUGACGGUAAUGGGUAAAGAAGCACCGGCUAACUACGUGCCAGCAGCCGCGGUGAUACGUAGGGUGCGAGCGUUGUCCGGAUUUAUUGGGCGUAAAGGGCUCGUGGGUGGUUGAUCGCGUCGGAAGUGUAAUCUUGGGGCUUAACCCUGAGCGUGCUUUCGAUACGGGUUGACUUGAGGAAGGUAGGGGAGAAUGGAAUUCCUGGUGGAGCGGUGGAAUGCGCAGAUAUCAGGAGGAACACCAGUGGCGAAGGCGGUUCUCUGGGCCUUUCCUGACGCUGAGGAGCGAAAGCGUGGGGAGCGAACAGGCUUAGAUACCCUGGUAGUCCACGCUGUAAACGGUGGGUACUAGGUGUGGGGUCCAUUCCACGGGUUCCGUGCCGUAGCUAACGCUUUAAGUACCCCGCCUGGGGAGUACGGCCGCAAGGCUAAAACUCAAAGGAAUUGACGGGGCCCCGCACAAGCGGCGGAGCAUGCGGAUUAAUUCGAUGCAACGCGUAGAACCUUACCUGGGUUUGACAUGGAUCGGGAGUGCUCAGAGAUGGGUGUGCCUCUUUUGGGGUCGGUUCACAGGUGGUGCAUGGCUGUCGUCAGCUCGUGUCGUGAGAUGUUGGGUUAAGUCCCGCAACGAGCGCAACCCUUGUUCACUGUUGCCAGCACGUUAUGGUGGGGACUCAGUGGAGACCGCCGGGGUCAACUCGGAGGAAGGUGGGGAUGACGUCAAGUCAUCAUGCCCCUUAUGUCCAGGGCUUCACGCAUGCUACAAUGGCUGGUACAGAGAGUGGCGAGCCUGUGAGGGUGAGCGAAUCUCGGAAAGCCGGUCUCAGUUCGGAUUGGGGUCUGCAACUCGACCUCAUGAAGUCGGAGUCGCUAGUAAUCGCAGAUCAGCAACGCUGCGGUGAAUACGUUCCCGGG
rnacentral:rRNA from 1 species